rnacentral:misc_RNA from 1 species
AAGUCGUAACAAGGUUUCCGUAGGUGAACCUGCGGAAGGAUCAUUAAUGAAUGAUAAUUUUUUGGGGUUUUCCCUGAAAAAUAAUUCACCCUUUGUGCAUUGUUAUUUAGAUAUACUUUGGUUAGUGCUUUGGUUCCGAAAACAUUUGGAAUCAACUUCUUGCUAACUCUAUCCUUUUUAAAGGACAGUUGGCUAUGAAGCGGCCUACCAAGGUUUUUUAUCAAACACUUGUAUUUUUGUCUGACCUAAAAACAAAUAAUUAAAUCAUAACUUUCAACAACGGAUCUCUUGGCUCUC